AUAAUAAUGGCAGUAGGUAUAAUAAUGCAUAUAAUGUGUAUUCUCCAUUGAAUGAAUAUACAACACCUCAAAGAAAAAAUGAUUAUAAUUUUAGCGUUAUUUCUUCAUUAUAUAACUAUCAACAUGAUUCUUGUAAUAAAUAUGCGAUUGAUGAAGAAUAUGGUCAUAUCAUUAACAAUUCUGUUUGUACUAGUAACUGUACUCCUUCUGCUUAUUAUAACAAUAACUACAACAGCUACAACAACUACAGCAACAGCCCAAAUAAUAGCCCAAACAAUAGGUAUAAGAGCAACACAAAUAAACCACUAUUUACUCACAUAAAAUUUGAUAUGUUUGUUUUUCUUUUAUUAAAAAUAAUUCUGAAAGGGGAGUUACAGGAAUAUCCAUCGUAUAAUAAACUAAAUCCUGUGUUAAAAUAUUUAAAAUUAGAAAUGUAUAAAAAAAUAGUAGAAGAUUUUAAAAUACUAAUUAAAUGUACACUCACUAAAAAAUUAAAAAAUAAAAAAGCUAUAUUAAUUUAUCUAAAAUCUUAUUAUAAUAAAUAUGCAAACAAAAUAAAACGAUUUGAUUAUCGAUCUGCUAAAAAAGAUAUGAAUAUUAUUAAAAAUAUGUUGAUAUUAAAAAAAAACCAUUUUUUAUACUCCUCAUCUCUUCAGUCUUUUAAUUUUUUUUCUAAAAAAUGUUUAAAUGCUUAUUUGGGUAACUAUGACGUUAAUCAAGACGACCAAAGGAGGACAAAAAAAAAUGAUAGGAGGAAAAAAAAAAUGAAAGGAGGACAAAAAAAAAAAUAAAACUAACUAUUCCAUUUGUUUUUAGUUCCCCUAAAAUAAAAACUGUAUUUGAAACAUCUUUUCAGACACUUUUUUCACGCCGCAAACCAAAAGUACUUAAUGUGUUACAACAAGGGGAAGGCUAUAAUAAUUAUAAAAUUUUUGAAAAUAACCGUUUUAAAAAUAACCAUUUUGAAAUGCAUCCUCUUGAAAUGAAUCCUUUUGAAAAUAACCGUUGGGAUUAUGCUACAAACGUAGGAGAGAUAGUACCACCUGUAUAUAAAAAAAUUAACAAAAUCAAAUUAACAAAAAAAAGAAAAAAACGUCGCAUAAAAAAAUAUAACCACAUAUUAUAUGUUCACUUGAAGUUAGUACAAAAAAUGUUGGAUAAUAUUUACGAGAAUAAAAAGAGUGUGAAAAGUUUACCUACAAAAGAAAGUAAAAAAAUCAAUGUUAACAUGUUUGACAAUAACAACAUAUCUGAUGGUAGUAGUGGUAGUGGUAGUGGUAGUGGUAGUGGUAGUAGUGGUAGUGGUAGUGGUAGUGGUAGUAGUGGUAGUGGUAGUGGUAGUAGUGGUAGUGGUAGUAGUGGUAAUACUAUUUUUGUUUAUCAAGAUUAUCUUAUUAAAAAGUUAAAUAUGAUAAAAAUAAAAAAAAAAGUAAAUAAUAUAAUAAAAAAUAAAAAAAAAAAUUAUAAAAGAGUAUUAAACAAAAUAAAAGGAACAAAUAAAAUAAAAGAUAAAAGAAAAAAAUAAAGUAAAAAAUAAAAGAAG
rnacentral:lncRNA from 1 species